GCAUCCAUGGCUGAACGGUUAAAGCACCCGACUCAUAAUCGGCGAAUUCACAGGUUCAACUCCUGUUGGAUGCA
rnacentral:tRNA from 8 species